rnacentral:rRNA from 1 species
CUUGACUGUAUCCUGGAAUUGGGUUCGGGCUUUUCUUGCGCAGCCUAGGUGGGAGGCUAUGAAGAUUUCCUUCCGGGGAAGUUGGAGCCAUCAGUGAGAGACCACUCUGGAGAGGCUAGAAUCCUAAUGGUGAUCCUUGAAUCAGGACACUUGACAGUUUCAGGUGGGCAGUUUUUCUGGGGCGGAAGCUUCAUAAAGGGUAACUGAGGUGCGCAAAGGUUCCCUCAGUCUGGACGGAAAUCAGACAUUGAGUGUAAAGGCAAAAGGGGGCUUGACUGCAAGACCUACAAGUCGAGCAGGAGCGAAAGCUGGCCUUAGUGAUCCGACGGUGCCGUGUGGAAGGGCCGUCGCUCAACGAAUAAAAGUUA